CCUUGACAUACUAAGAACUUUCCAGAGAUGGAUUGGUGCCUUCGGGAACUUAGAUACAGGUGCUGCAUGGCUGUCGUCAGCUCGUGUCGUGAGAUGUUGGGUUAAGUCCCGCAACGAGCGCAACCUUUUCCUAUUUGCCAGCGGGUCAUGCCGGGAACUUUAAGGAUACUGCCAGUGACAAACUGGAGGAAGGCGGGGACGACGUCAAGUCAUCAUGGCCCUUACGGCCAGGGCUACACACGUGCUACAAUGGUCGGUACAAAGGGUUGCUACCUCGCGAGAGGAUGCUAAUCUCAAAAAAGCCGAUCGUAGUCCGGAUCGCAGUCUGCAACUCGACUGCGUGAAGUCGGAAUCGCUAGUAAUCGCGGAUCAGAAUGCCGCGGUGAAUACGUUCCCGGGCCUUGUACACACCGCCCGUCACACCAUGGGAGUUUGUUGCACCAGAAGUAGGUAGUCUAACCGCAAGGAGGACGCUUACCACGGUGUGGCCGAUGACUGGGGUGAAGUCGUAACAAGGUAGGCGUAGAUGA
rnacentral:rRNA from 1 species